UAAAGUUUGUAGUUUAUUAAAAACGUUAGUUUGUGGAUCUAAAAAAGAUUUAUUUCCAGCUUUAC
rnacentral:tRNA from 1 species